rnacentral:rRNA from 1 species
AUGAAACCACUUUCUGGUGAGAACUCUAAAAGAUUAUUCUUUUCUAGAACAUUUGGUGACGAUCAAAGCGUCCUUCUUGAUAAACAAUAUGAUGAAAUGUCCAAGAAAAUUUUAUGGAGAUGUGGUGGUGUGCCAUUAUCUAUCACUACAAUAGCUAGCCUGCUUGCUGGGAAACGAAGGGAGGCCUGGUCCGAGGUAUAUGAAUCUAUUGGUUUUGGGCAUGAAAAGAAUGAAGCUGUUGAGAACACGAGAAAAAUUAUGUCCUUUAGCUAUUAUGAUCUGCCCUCUUGUCUAAAGACAUGUUUGUUGCACUUGAGAAUUUUUCCUGAAGAUACCACCUUCGGGAAAAAAACAUUAAUAUGGAUGUGGAUUGCAGAGGGUUUUAUCAUUGAUAAACCAGGGACACAAUUAUUUGAGUUGGGGGAGAGCUACUUGAAUGAGCUUGUAAACAGAAACAUGAUCCAACAGGUAGAGCCACGUCAUAUGGGAAGCCUAUCUGGUUGCAGUGUUCAUGAUAUGGUGUAUGAUUUAAUAUGCUCCUUGUCAAGUCAAGUGAACUUCAUCACAAUAUAUGAUAAGCACCAACAGGCAGUCACAUUUUCGCGUGUCCGUAGAUUAGCCAUUCACAGAGGAAGUAUGGAGCAGAUUAACCCUGGCAUGGAGAUGGGACAUGUGAAGUCAUUCAAUGCUGUGGAGUGGCGAAACAUCAGGAUGCCCUCCCUUCUGAGCUUCAGAGCAUUACGUGUACUGGUGUUUUUCAAAUGUGGUUUUUCUACGGGAAGUUGUGAUCUGAAGCAUGUUAGAAAGUUGGUUCAUCUGAGGUACCUUGGGCUAGUGGACACACCUGCUGUGGAGCUACCGAAAGACAUAGGACAUGACCUCAACUUCCUGCAAACGCUGGACGUCAGGGGAAGUGGCAUAAAAGAAUUGCCGCCAACCAUCGGUGAGCUAACUAAACUGAUGUGCUUGCGUGCUAGCAAGGGUACAAGAUUUACGUCCGAGAUAGGGAAGCUCACCUCCCUCGUUGAGCUGGACCUGUCCUCGGCUGACAAGUCCGCACACUUGUUCACACAGCUGGGUAAUCUGAGGGAGGUGAGGACGCUCAAUAUAUGGUUUGAACCGAUAGACGAGAGCUGCAGGCACAAGGAUCUGGUGGGUUCAUUGGGCAGCAUGCGCAGGCUCCAGCAGCUGAGGGUCGGGUUUCACUCAGCGAAGGAAAUCCUUGUCGACGGCUGGGAAGAGUGGACGCCCCCUUCGCUGCUCCGUGAGCUGGGGUUGUAUCACAUACUUUUACCCAGGCGGCCGUUGUGGCUGGACUCCUCGUGUGUUCCGCUCCUCUCCACCCUCAGGUUGGAACUGGAGGUGGUUUCGGAACAGGAUAUGCAAAUCCUCGGGACGCUCCCUUCCCUCCGCCACCUCUACCUCCAGAUAUACAAGAUGAAGGUGUUUUCGUAUACUGUUGGUAGCGACGAGUUUCAGAAACUGAGGCAUCUUAAAAUCACUGUGGAGAUCAUGACAUGUGGAGAGGGAGUCCUACCAAUGCUUGAGGAACUGAGAUGUUGUGCCACCGUGAGAGGAAAGGGCGGUUUUGGUCUGAUGCCAGGAAACAUGCCCUGUCUUCAGCAUGUCACCUAUGAGCUUAACUGCCAGCAUAGCACUGCUGACGAAGUGGAAGAGGCAGAAAUAGCCAUGAGGUACAUGGCCCAAAUCCACCCCAACCACCCCACGCUGGAAAUAGAAAGAAUCAAUGAGGAUUAUGCCGGACCUGCGGAGGUUUCAGCUCCCCACAAGGAGCCGGUGACUGGAAGUGCUGAGGCGGACAAAAAGACAUCUGAUACAACAAACAAAGAGGAGGAGGCGGUGACGAGCCUACCUUAA